rnacentral:rRNA from 1 species
GCCUGCACAAAAUCACUGGAAUGCGCCCAAUCUCAUCAGAUCUUGGAAGCUAAGCAAGGAUGAGCCUGAUUGUGCUUGGAUGGGUGAUCAUCUCUGUGCAUGAAAAGACAGGGU